rnacentral:lncRNA from 1 species
UGAAUUCGCACUGGAAGAGGAAGGGAAAACGGACAGCAAAAAUUGAUAGAAAAAUACCCCACAAACCCAACGACGCACACAAGGAAAAAAAGAAAAAACACCCCAAUAAAGUGAAAAACAGCGGAAUAAAAUGUGGGGGGAAAAAUAUAUAUAUAUAUAUUAAAAAAUAAAAGAAAAAAAAAUAAGAAUGAAAAAAAAAAUAAAAGAAAAAAGAAAACAAAACAAGGCAGCUCCCGGCUCCUGGGACUCCCGGUCUGCGGAGGGCAGAGAGUUACGUCCUUCUUUUUUUUUGUUGUUGUUGUUGCGGCGAAGGGAGAAGCGAGCGGGGGCGAAACCCUUUCGGAGAAGUCCUUCCCGGCACUGAAGCGGCGCCGGAGCGGAGCGGAACGGCGGUCGGGGAGGGAGGGAGGGAGGGAGUGAGGGCCGCACCGCUCACACCCCCGCGGGCUCCGACUGCGCCCCGGAGGGCUCCGCACCGCUGAGCGCUCCGCGGUUCGGCCGAGCGCCGCUCAUGGCUCGAGGAGCCGGAGUGGGGAACGGUCGGAUCUUGUCGUGAUCUCUGUAAAACUGUGACUAUCUCACAUGUCCUUCCUGCUCUGAUCCGCCCGCUAAUGAGCCAAGCCCCCUUGAUUGCUGAUUUUACGCGUUUCAGACCAAUUGUGGAUCUGCAUAGGCGUGGUUUUGACAGCUCCGGCCAAGCUCCGGGCGCGGGGAGGAGGGGUAGGGGGGGGGGGAGGAGGGGGGGGAGGGAGGACGGGAAGAAGGAAAAAAAAAGAAGAGAGAGAGAAAAAAAAAAAAAAAAAAAAAAAAGCAAAGGUGUCGGAAGCAUCGGCAGUAAGAAAACAUGUCAACAGAAUAAAAUAUUAACCAAUGACAGAGAAAAGUGCUCGAAAUCCCACCCCCGGCUCCUUUCCGCAUACCGGGUCAGCCCUGGCUGCGCCGCGGCCGGGGAGCGGCCAACGCCGAUCCUGGAAAGAGGAUCAAGGUGGGGCCCGCCCCGCCGCGCACCGCCGACAACCGACGGGGAGGCCGAGGCUCGGCCGCCGGGAGCACGGCGGAGAGCUGCAGGCGGCGAGGCCCGGAGCGGCGAGCUCCAUCCACAGCGGGUGAGUGGCGGAGACCCGCGCCCUGCUCUCGCUCCCGGCCCCGCGAGGCCGCUCCAAUGGGGGGAAUGUCCCGCUGGGAGCUCCGCGCGGACCCCGCCGUCGGGGCGCCCCGCGAGGUGCCCUCCCGUCGGGGCCGCGCUGCGCUGCCCGGCCCGAGGGGGCUGUUUACCCGGGCGGGGGGAGGCAGAUAAGGCGGAGGGGAAAUGCCGGGACUGUUUGCUGAGGGAUUAG